rnacentral:rRNA from 1 species
UCGGCUUAGAGUUUGAUCAUGGCUCAGGAUGAACGCUGGCGGCGUGCCUAAUACAUGCAAGUCGAACGAUCGGUGCUUGCACCGAAGUGGCGGACGGGUGAGUAACACGUGGGUAACCUGCCCUUAAGUGGGGGAUAACAUUUGGAAACAGAUGCUAAUACCGCAUAGAUCCAAGACCGCAUGGUUCUUGGCGAAAGAUGGUAAUAUCGCUUUUGGAUGGACCCGCGGCGUAUUAGCUAGUUGGUGAGGUAAUGGCUCACCAAGGCGAUGAUACGUAGCCGAACUGAGAGGUUGAUCGGCCACAUUGGGACUGAGACACGGCCCAAACUCCUACGGGAGGCAGCAGUAGGGAAUCUUCCACAAUGGACGCAAGUCUGAUGGAGCAACGCCGCGUGAGUGAAGAAGGCUUUCGGGUCGUAAAACUCUGUUGUUGGAGAAGAAUGGUCGGCAGGUAAUUGUCGGCGUGACGGUAUCCAACCAGAAAGCCACGGCUAACUACGUGCCAGCAGCCGCGGUAAUACGUAGGUGGCAAGCGUUAUCCGGAUUUAUUGGGCGUAAAGCGAGCGCAGGCGGUUUUUUAAGUCUGAUGUGAAAGCCCUCGGCUUAACCGAGGAAGCGCAUCGGAAACUGGGAAACUUGAGUGCAGAAGAGGACAGUGGAACUCCAUGUGUAGCGGUGAAAUGCGUAGAUAUAUGGAAGAAC